rnacentral:lncRNA from 1 species
UUGUUACAUUUAGAUUUGAUGCUAAAAUCAAUAGGUCACCUCACAAGAACAUGUAUGAACAACAACAUGAGAGGUUCCUUGAGUGGGUUGCACUGAUGAGCCAAAGUUUUGCCUGAACUCUUCAGCUUCUGAGAUUAAAAGUACUAAAAUAUUUCUAAAGUUUAUUGGGACUGGAUUCUCUGACUGUAGGCAGACAAGCUCCCUCUAGAGAGGCCAUCUGUGACCUCUGGUUCUCACUUGGUCUGGGCUCAAAAUGAACGUUGUGAUUCCUAGGGGAAAACACAGACUGCCUUCCCCUCCCUGCACCCGGACACCAGCUGCCCAGACAGUGAGCAGGGCUAACAGCAUAGCUACAAGGCACAGCCUCACCUGUAUCCCUGAUUGCAACCCUGUGUCAUUGACUGCUCCAAAUCCUCUUACCAAGGAAUGGAAAGCAGACAGUCAGCAAUAAAGAUUUUUCCUUGCAGUGGGAAUCUGCCAGCUGAGGAGGUGUUCCUGGAUCCCUUGAUGCCCGUGAGGAUGUGCAGAGAGGUUUCAGGUCAGUUUGAAGUUGUCAGGUGCCUAGGACUACCUACCUGGAAUGCAUCUUGCCCUGAAGAAGCCAGGCACGUAAUGAGGUGUCCUCAGUACUCCCUUUCUGCAAAUACUCACCUUGUGGUCUUGUGUUGCUAACAGUGAGUCUCCAGCACUCCCCAUGCAUCUUUUGAGCCUAAUCCACAAUGACACCCUACAUUAUAAGAUUGAGUUGGAGCCUUCAGACCCUGCACUUUACAGGUUUCUUGCAUUUGCUGCUAUGCAUGUCUCCACAGUAGGGUGGAGCAACCCCGGCGAGCAAUAUGCCACAGGAAUGUGUUGUUAUCACGGUGUGACUGGAUGGAGAAAUUCAUUUUACAAUGGAUCCCAUGCUACUUCGACCUCACACUCAGUCUGCGGAGCCAAGUCAUGCAGUAACCUCAGCUGGUCUGUAUCGAGUGGGCCUGUGGGUCACAUCUUAAUCCAAAAAAAUGAAGAAAGGAAAGAAAAAUAUUUUUUAUUAUUAUUUUCUUUUUUUCCUUCCAUGGAAACCUACCAACAUGAGAAGAGUAGGAAAUACCAUUCUCUGCUUCACUCUUAGGCAAAUGAAUUCUGCAUUAAAAAAAAAAAAAAAAAAAAAAAAAAAAAAAAGGAAAGAAAACAUUCUUCCUCCUGUUGUUAUAUUGCUCUUUCAGAGAACCAGCCACUGUCCAUACUUUUCCAGAUCUCAGUGCCGUGCUUAACA